rnacentral:rRNA from 1 species
CCUGGCGGCGUGCCUAAUACAUGCAAGUCGAACGGAUUUCAAUGUUAGCUUGCUAACAUUGAAGUUAGUGGCGGACGGGUGAGUAACACGUAGGCAACCUGCCCACAAGAUCGGGAUAACAUUCGGAAACGAAUGCUAAGACCGGAUACACAAGUUUGCCGCAUGGCGGACUUGGGAAACACGGAGCAAUCUGUGGCUUGUGGAUGGGCCUGCGGCGCAUUAGCUAGUUGGUGGGGUAAAGGCUCACCAAGGCGACGAUGCGUAGCCGACCUGAGAGGGUGAACGGCCACACUGGGACUGAGACACGGCCCAGACUCCUACGGGAGGCAGCAGUAGGGAAUCUUCCACAAUGGGCGAAAGCCUGAUGGAGCAACGCCGCGUGAGUGAGGAAGGCUUUCGGGUCGUAAAGCUCUGUUGCCAGGGAAGAAUAAGAGCCAGUUAACUGCUGGUUCGAUGACGGUACCUGAGAAGAAAGCCCCGGCUAACUACGUGCCAGCAGCCGCGGUAAUACGUAGGGGGCAAGCGUUGUCCGGAAUUAUUGGGCGUAAAGCGCGCGCAGGCGGUUCUUUAAGUCUGGUGUCUAAGUGCGGGGCUCAACCCCGUGAUGCACUGGAAACUGGGGAACUUGAGUGCAGAAGAAGGAGAGCGGAAUUCCACGUGUAGCGGUGAAAUGCGUAGAGAUGUGGAGGAACACCAGUGCCGAAGGCGGCUCUCUGGACUGUACUGACGCUAGGCCCGAAAACCUUG